CUACGGGAGGCAGCAGUGGGGAAUAUUGCACAAUGGGCGAAAGCCUGAUGCAGCGACGCCGCGUGAGGGACGACGGCCUUCGGGUUGUAAACCUCUUUCAGUAGGGAACAAGGSAUCAUUUUUGUGGYGKUGARGGWACUUGCAGAARAAKCACCGGCUAACUACGUGCCARCASCCGCGGUAAUACSUAKGGUGCAAGCGUUAUCCGGAAUUAUUGGGCGUAAAGAGCUCGUAGGCGGUUUGUCGCGUCUGUCGUGAAAGUCCGGGGCUCAACUCCGGAUCUGCGGUGGGUACGGGCAGACUAGAGUGAUGUAGGGGAGACUGGAAUUCCUGGUGCAGCGGUGGAAUGCGCARAUAUCAGGAGGAACACCGAUGGCKAAGGCAGGUCUCUGGGCAUUAACUGACGCUGAGGAGCGAAAGCAUGGGGAGCGAACAGGAUUAGAUACCCUGGUAGUCCAUGCCGUAAACGUUGGGCACUAGGUGUGGGGGACAUUCCACGUUUUCCGCGCCKUAGCUAACGCAUUAAGUGCCCCGCCUGGGGAGUACGG
rnacentral:rRNA from 1 species